rnacentral:sRNA from 1 species
GUCAGGUGUGAUGGCGCAUGCCUGUAACCCCAGCAACUUGGGAGGCUGAGGCAGGAGGAUCUUGAGUUCAAAGGCAGCCUUUAGCAGAUUAGCAAGGUACUUAGAAACUCAGUAAGACCCUGUCUCUA